rnacentral:rRNA from 1 species
GACGUAGGGGCGAGCGUUGUCCGGAUUUAUUGGGCGUAAAGCGUGCGUAGGCGGCUGCGCAAGUCGGGUGUGAAACCCCGGGGCUCAACCCCGGAACUGCAUCCGAUACUGCGUGGCUAGAGGUAGGUAGGGGAGAUCGGAAUUCCUGGUGUAGCGGUGAAAUGCGCAGAUAUCAGGAGGAACACCGGUGGCGAAGGCGGAUCUCUGGGCCGUUACCUGACGCUCGAGGCACGAAAGCUAGGGGAGCGAACAGG